AGCGAACGCUGGCGGCAGGCCUAACACAUGCAAGUCGAACGGAUCCUUCGGGAUUAGUGGCGGACGGGUGAGUAACACGUGGGAACGUGCCCUUUGGUUCGGAACAACACAGGGAAACUUGUGCUAAUACCGGAUGUGCCCUUCGGGGAAGGAUUAUCGCCAUUGGAGCGGCCCGCGUCGUGAUUAGCUAGUUGGUGAGGUAAAGGCGUCACCAAGGCUACGAUCAGUAGCUGGUCUGAGAGGAUGAUCAGCCACAUUGGGACUGAGACACGGCCCAAACUCCUACGGGAGGCAGCAGUGGGGAAUCUUGCGCAAUGGGCGAAAGCCUGACGCAGCCAUGCCGCGUGGAUGA
rnacentral:rRNA from 1 species